GACGAACGCUGGCGGCGUGCUUAACACAUGCAAGUCGAACGGUGAAGCCCUUCGGGGUGGCUCAGUGGCGAACGGGUGAGUAACACGUGAGCAACCUGCCCCUGGCUCUGGGACAACCACUGGAAACGGUGGCUAAUACCGGAUACGACCCGCCUCGGCAUCGAGUGUGGGUGGUAAGUUUUUCGGCUGGGGAUGGGCUCGCGGCCUAUCAGCUUGUUGGUGAGGUGAAGGCUCACCAAGGCGACGACGGGUAGCCGGCCUGAGAGGGCGACCGGCCACACUGGGACUGAGACACGGCCCAGACUCCUACGGGAGGCAGCAGUGGGGAAUAUUGCACAAUGGGCGAAAGCCUGAUGCAGCGACGCCGCGUGAGGGAUGACGGCCUUCGGGUUGUAAACCUCUUUCAGCUACGAAGAAGCGAAAGUGACGGUAGGAGCAGAAGAAGCACCGGCUAACUACGUG
rnacentral:rRNA from 1 species